UGGACAGCGUUGGAGGGUGAAGGCCUCUAUUUAUGCACUUUGGAGGCCCCAAAAUAGGAACUACUCUAGAUUCCCCUCCCUCCCAUCCCCACUGGUCUGCCACUGUGCCUCUCUCCUGACCUGGAGGGACCACUCUCUGAAAGGGGAGGGGAGUCCAGUCUCCAAGGCCCACUCAGAUAUGAUUGCC
rnacentral:sRNA from 1 species